rnacentral:sRNA from 1 species
ACUACGCCUUUAGAAAGGCACGCUGGGC